rnacentral:tRNA from 1 species
GGGUGUAUAGCUCAGUUGGUAGAGCAGCUGACUCUUAAUCAGCCGGUCCACGGUUCGAACCCGUGUGCACCCACCA